ACGCUCGACACCUACGGGGGGCAGCAGUGGGGAAUAUUGGGCAAUGGGCGAAAGCCUGACCCAGCAACGCCGCGUGAGGGAAGAAGGUUUUCGGAUUGUAAACCUCUGUCCUCAGGGACGAAGGACGUGACGGUACCUGAGGAGGAAGCCCCGGCUAACUACGUGCCCGCAGCCGCGGUAAUCUGAGCGGGCUGGCAAGGC
rnacentral:rRNA from 1 species